rnacentral:rRNA from 1 species
AGUGAACGCUGGCGGUAGGCCUAACACAUGCAAGUCGAACGGCAGCACAGUAAGAGCUUGCUCUUACGGGUGGCGAGUGGCGGAAGGGUGAGGAAUACAUCGGAAUCUACUUUUUCGUGGGGGAUAACGUAGGGAAACUUACGCUAAUACCGCAUACGACCUACGGGUGAAAGCAGGGGAUCUUCGGACCUUGCGCGAUUGAAUGAGCCGAUGUCGGAUUAGCUAGUUGGCGGGGUAAAGGCCAACCAAGGCGACGAUCCGUAGCUGGUCUGAGAGGAUGAUCAGCCACACUGGAACUGAGACACGGUCCAGACUCCUACGGGAGGCCGCAGUGGGGAAUAUUGGACAAUGGGCGCAAGCCUGAUCCAGCCAUACCGCGUGGGUGAAGAAGGCCUUCGGGUUGUAAAGCCCUUUUGUUGGGAAAGAAAAGCAGCAGGUUAAUACCCCGCUGUUCUGACGGUACCCAAAGAAUAAGCACCGGCUAACUUCGUG